GGGCUUAUAGUUUAAUUGGUUGAAACGUACCGCUCACAACGGUGAUAUUGUAGAUUCGAGCCCUACUAAGCCUA
rfam:Ricinus communis cultivar Hale ctg_1100012358712, whole genome shotgun sequence.